CGGGGGGCCCCGACGCGAAGUCGGGCCCUUGCUCGGGAGCGAGCGCCGGGCGGCCCUCGGAGGCUCGGGGCGCGCCAGCCGUCUGCCCCGGAGGCCGAGCGGCGGCAGCUCUUCCUAGGGUUGCAGUCCAGGAAGUCUUUGCCUUCAGAUCCUGUUCUCCCUCGGGUAGAGCAGUGCCACGAGGUCUUGAUGUCCCACGUCGGGGUUGCCAACAAAGGAGACGUGGUGGUCUGAAAUUACUGAAAGGUUACGUAGCUGAUCGCUGGUGGUUCCCUGUUUCUUCAAAGCAGCUCCGUGCAGAUUCUUUGAACAGGUGAGGAUGGGAUAGGUAGCAAGAACUGGCGUGGAGACCACUGGAUGGAAAGAGUGAGGGGUUCCAGCAGGGACAAGGAAUCUCAGCUCUUGUCUCUGCUUUUCCAGUGGUCACGUGAGGGAUUGCCAUUCUAUGGUCUGCAUUGUUUGGCUGUUCGCUUUGUGUCUCAUCCAGCCAAUUGAAGUAAGAGUGCAAACUUCACUGGGCACUUGGCAUGGCUCUGGGGGUGAAACUGCCCCCAUAAGUAGCUUCCAAGCUCCAGUGUCCAGAAUCUCUCCAGUUGGAGGAAUGAUUUUUUACUAAGUGGAGGCUUAAGGAGUGUGCCUGUUAGAAUCUACCUUGACCAUAGUGGUCACACAGAUCUGAUUAAAUUGCACAAAUUGAUUAAAUUGCACAGAACUAAAUACAGGAGUGGGUGUAAGAUGAAAUCAGUAAGCUUGGUAGAUUGUGUCACUAUUAACGUUUCUGAUUGUGGGAUGCAGGGUGCAGAGGAUGUCCCUAGACUGUUUUUUUACAACCACAUGUGAAUCUAUAAUUACCUUUGGUUAAAAAGUUUAAUUUAGAAACUGGUGGGAUAUGAGAAAUGAAAAGAUAAAGGACCACAUAAGUGCCCCAAGUAUUUUUGAGAGUUUCUUGGUCUCCAAACAGCCCACUUAUCCCAUAGUAUUAACUGAAAUCUCAGCUAUUAACUAGGGCUGAAAUUCAGACCUCACUAAAGCAGAAAGAUUUCAUGGUCUCCAUAAAUGACAGCCAAAGUCAUCUUUAACAUUUUAUGUUGAUCGUAUAAUGAGGUUACCUAUCUGCCACUUUUUUUUUUUUAACAUCUUAUUUAUUCA